GGACAUGCCAAAAAAACAGAACAACAACGGAUUAGCGGAACCGUUGUUGUUGUUGCUUGUUGUUUUUCUGGAAGGCACGCGCCUUUUUUCGUCUUUUUCACUUGCGUUUACUUAAGUGAAGGAGUUAGAAGUGACAGAAAUCUACGAGCAAUUAACUUUGUCAAAUUCAAUAGUGUCUUAAAAUUGAAAUAGAAACAAUUCCCAGACAAGGCUGAUGGUAAAAAUGGAUGGCUAAGUCAAUCCAUUUUAAGCAUAUUAUCCGAGGAACUUGUUCUGUCCCACAACUUGGAGGGGGCCAAAACAAGAAGAAGCUCAAAGUCUACCCAAAUUUCGUCCGCGCCUUGUUAAAUUCAAUCGCUCGGAGCCCUCGGAGCCUCCCGAAAAGGCACUGCAAAAAGCAAUGAGGUGCGUGAAAAACCAGAUGCUGAAGAACCGACGACUCCGAUAACACCGGGAACCCCCGAACUGAAAUUU